UUGACCUCAAAUCAGGUAGGACUACCCGCUGAACUUAAGCAUAUCAAUAAGCGGAGGAAAAGAAACUAACAAGGAUUCCCCUAGUAACUGCGAGUGAAGCGGGAUGAGCUCAAAUUUAAAAUCUGGCGGUCCUUGUGGCCGUCCGAGUUGUAAUCUAGAGAAGUGUUAUCCGCGCUGGACCGUGCACAAGUCUCCUGGAACGGAGCGUCAUAGAGGGUGAGAAUCCCGUCUUUGGCACGGACUACCAGGGCUAUGUGAUGCGCUCUCAAAGAGUCGUGUUGUUUGGGAAUGCAGCACUAAAUGGGUGGUAAAUUCCAUCUAAAGCUAAAUAUUGGCGAGAGACCGAUAGCGAACAAGUACCGUGAGGGAAAGAUGAAAAGAACUUUGGAAAGAGAGUUAAACAGUACGUGAAAUUGUUGAAAGGGAAACGCUUGAAGUCAGUCGCGUUGGCCAGGGAUCAACCUUGCUCUUUUGCUGGGCUUACUCUCUGGUUGACGGGUCAGCAUCAAUUUUGACCGGUGGAUAAAGGUUGAGGGAAUGUGGCAUCUUCGGGUGUGUUAUAGCCCUCGGUCGCA
rnacentral:rRNA from 1 species